CCUUCUUUCUCUCUUUUUUCUCUUUCUUCUUCUCUCUUGCUUCCAUAUCCCUCUUCCUUUUGCUCUUCUUCUUCUCCCUUCUUUCUCUUUUGUUACCUGAAACAAUAAUGGUGUCUGAAUCGGUUUACGGAUAUAGACUGGAUCGAGUUUUACCGCUGAGUUAUGAAGCUAACUAGGUCUGAAUAAACAUCAGUUCAAACGUAACAACUGUUAUCGCCUUUGUGAAGUUAGCGCUGACCAAUUUCUUGCAGAAAUUGAAGAGAAGCUGAGGAGUUUGUUUCCAACAAGUGAGCUUUUUCCAGUAUGGCAAUGCUUCUUAGUUUUGGAGAGGCUGUUGCCAGAAGCAAUAUGUGC